CCGCCCGUCACACCACGGAAGUUGGGGGCGCCCGAAGCCACUUAGCUAACCCUUUGGGAAGCGAGUGUCGAAGGUGAAAUCAAUAACUGGGGUGAAGUCGUAACAAGGUAGCCGUAUCGGAAGGUGCGGCUGGAUCACCUCCUUUCUAAGGAGA
rnacentral:rRNA from 1 species